ACAUGCCUGGCGCGGUGCCUUGCAGCUGGCGGCGGGUGGGGCCGCCGGGCGGGCCGCAGCUUUCUCCUGUCGACGGAGGCUGCUGACGGGAAAAUGAUCCAGGUGGGGAGCGCCCCGGCCCUAGGCCCUUUCCCCUGAAAGUCAGCGGGAGCCUAGGGCCAGGUAACCCAGGUAGAGACUCUGGGCCGUGUUACAAACGGACGUGGAGGAUCGCAAAGAUCAGCUUUCUAGCCCUCUCUCUGCCUAUUACGGGCUCUGUGACCAAUGGCAAAUCACUUUACCCGUGCCUCAGUUUCCCCACUCUUCUAGAGGGCUUGCGACCUGAGAGUGGCCAAGAAGAAAAGAAAGUUCACGUCACAAGCACUACCUGCCUAACAGCAAGUCAGAGCCCUCGAGUCCCAGGAAAGCCCAGGAGGCCGGAGCCUCAUCAGAGCCCACCCCUGACUUUCCCUCCGCGUGCCCUGGUGCUCGCUGCUCAGGACAGUCUGCUUGGCAGCCGCUCUAGAAAAAUGAAUGAACAUCGUAUUAAACACUCCCUGAUCACUCGCUAAUCAGGUUCAACUGAAGAGGCUGUUCUAAGAAAGAUGACUGAAGUAAUCAAUCACCUUCCUCAGAGAAAGUCCGCUCAGGUAGAAUUUUGUUUACCGUGUAAACAAUGGAACAUUUAUUGCCGAAUCCCUUGUUCCUUUUUAGCCAGGCUAGAGAAUUUAGAUUUCUUGGUGGGGGGGCAUGAGGAUAAAAGAAAUGGUCAUGGGAGACAAGCUGGGUCCUGGAGAGAGAGACCCAGUGGCUUCUUGAUUCUUCAUAGCCCCCUCUGAGGAGAAUCAAAAAGGUAAAGACUGUCCCUUCGACUCAGAUGGCGAGUGUGUUUCUCCUUAUUUUACCAAGCGGGAUGAAAAACCAGGUUUUCCCAGAAAGCCUGGGGACACGCAGGGGAUAGGAGUGACUAGAGAAGGGAGGGGGGCAGGGGAGGACUGAAGAUCAUCCUUAACUUUCCAAAAGCAGGAAUAUAGGACACUUAAUAAACUUUAAAUUACUUGCCCCUUUUAUGGACAGGGGUGAUUAUUUUUACUGAAGAGGACUAAAAUAAUUCAUUUUUAGAGCUCACUUUUGUAAGAUUACAGCAAAAAACAAAACCCAGAAUCUGUUGCUUUGGGUGAAAAACAGUGACAAUGAUCUCUAACUAUGCUCAAUGAUUCUAAAAUUGCUGUUUAUAGGAAAUAUUAUACAUUAAAAACUACAGUAAAAAAUGGAUCCCAGCUAUGGACACAGUCAAGAGAUCGGGUUGGGGAGAGGGAGGGAUGAACAGGCGGAGCACAGAGAAUUUUUAGAGCAGUUAAACUAUUCUGUUUGCUGCUGUGAUGGGCAUACACAUCAUUAUACAUUUGUUAAAACCUAUAGAAGGUGCACCACCAAGAGUGAACCCCAAUGGAAACUCUGAUCUGUAAUUAAUAGUAAUGUGUCAUAUUGGUUCAUCAAUUGAAACAAAUACACCGCAGUAAUAAAAAAU